rnacentral:tRNA from 1 species
UAGCUGAGUCAAGUUUCGAUCUUGAGACCUCCGGGUUAUGAGCCCGGCCUGUAUCGAUAUUAGAAUCAUUUCAAAGAGCUUAUAUCAAUGAAUUAGACUCACGCGCUUCCGCUGCGCCACUCAGCU